GAGGGUAUAGCUCAGUGGUAGAGUUCUUGCCUAGCAAGCAUGAGGGCCUGGGUUCAAUCCCUAGUACCUCCU
rnacentral:tRNA from 1 species